rnacentral:rRNA from 1 species
UCGAAUCCUGUAGAAUGACCAGUGAACUAGUACUAAUAAGAUGGAUUGGUGAGGAUUGAAGCCUAUGUUUUGACCCUUGUUAAUCCUUGUUGACUUGUAUUCAUGGGACUUUUUGAGGCUUCAUGGACAUAAAGUUGGCACAACAACAACCCCCGGCACGACAUGUGCCAAGGAAAACUAAACAUAAGAGCGCCCAUGCCAUGUUGCCCCGUUUUUGGUGUGCUCAUUGUGUGUGGCUUCUUUGUAAUCUAAAAUGACUCUCGGCAACGGAUAUCUCGGCUCACGCAUCGAUGAAGAACGUAGCAAAAUGCGAUACUUGAUGUGAAUUGCAGAAUCCCGUGAACCAUCGAGUUUUUGAACGCAAGUUGCGCCCAAAGCCAUCUGGUUGAGGGCACGUCUGCCUGGGCGUCACGCAUCACGUCGCCCCACAAAGCAWCCCUUAUUGGGACAUGUUAGAAGGGGCGGAUAUUGGUCUCCCAUGCAUGUGGUGUGGUUGGCCUAAAUAGGAGCMUACUCAAGAAGGACGCACGACUAGUGGUGGUUGAUAAGACAGUYGUCUGUGUCAUGCGUUCUGAUCAUUGAGGAAAACUCAUAAGAUACCUCAUCACAUCAUCUUUAGAUGAUGAUUUGAUCGC